AGAUACUCCAGCUGGGGCAGGAGCGCUCAGUCUACUGGGAGCUACUGCCGCUGCCAGUCUGGAGGACUCUAGCAAAGAGGAGGAUCAGGAUGGGCUGCAGGGUGUGGGCCAGAGGAAAAGAGUGAAGCUCAGUAGCACUACCAAAGAUCCAUCCAUAAUGGACACCCUGAAACAUAAAUGUUUUUUAGAAGAGUUAUUGUUUUGGACUA